GGGUUGUGAGGUUAAGUGACUAAGCGUACACGGUGGAUGCCUAGGCAGUCAGAGGCGAUGAAGGGCGUGCUAAUCUGCGAAAAGCGUCGGUAAGGUGAUAUGAACCGUUACAACCGGCGAUACCCGAAUGGGGAAACCCAGUGUGUUUCGACACACUAUCAUGUCAUGAAUACAUAGUGGCAUGAGGCGAACCGGGGGAACUGAAACAUCUAAGUACCCCGAGGAAAAGAAAUCAACCGAGAUUCCCCCAGUAGCGGCGAGCGAACGGGGAGGAGCCCAGAACCUGAAUCGGCUUGUGUGUUAGUGGAAGCGUCUGGAAAGUCGCGCAGCAAAGGGUGAUAGCCCCGUACACUAAAAUGCACAUGUCGUGAGUUCGAUGAGUAGGGCGGGACACGUGACAUCCUGUCUGAAUAUGGGGGGACCAUCCUCCAAGGCUAAAUACUCCUGACUGACCGAUAGUGAACCAGUACCGUGAGGGAAAGGCGAAAAGAACCCCGGCGAGGGGAGUGAAAUAGAACCUGAAACCGUGUACGUACAAGCAGUGGGAGCACCUUCGUGGUGUGACUGCGUACCUUUUGUAUAAUGGGUCAGCGACUUAUAUUUUGUAGCAAGGUUAACCGUAUAGGGGAGCCGUAGGGAAACCGAGUCUUAACUGGGCGACUAGUUGCAAGGUAUAGACCCGAAACCCGGUGAUCUAGCCAUGGGCAGGUUGAAGGUUGGGUAACACUAACUGGAGGACCGAACCGACUAAUGUUGAAAAAUUAGCGGAUGACUUGUGGCUGGGGGUGAAAGGCCAAUCAAACCGGGAGAUAGCUGGUUCUCCCCGAAAGCUAUUUAGGUAGCGCCUCGUGAACUCAUCUUCGGGGGUAGAGCACUGUUUCGGCUAGGGGGCCAUCCCGGCUUACCAAACCGAUGCAAACUCCGAAUACCGAAGAAUGUUAUCACGGGAGACACACGGCGGGUGCUAACGUCCGUCGUGAAGAGGGAAACAACCCAGACCGCCAGCUAAGGUCCCAAAGUCAUGGUUAAGUGGGAAACGAUGUGGGAAGGCAUAGACAGCCAGGAUGUUGGCUUAGAAGCAGCCAUCAUUUAAAGAAAGCGUAAUAGCUCACUGGUCGAGUCGGCCUGCGCGGAAGAUGUAACGGGGCUAAACCAUGCACCGAAGCUGCGGCAGCGACGCUUAGGCGUUGUUGGGUAGGGGAGCGUUCUGUAAGCCGUUGAAGGUGGCCUGUGAGGGUUGCUGGAGGUAUCAGAAGUGCGAAUGCUGACAUAAGUAACGAUAAAGCGGGUGAAAAGCCCGCUCGCCGGAAGACCAAGGGUUCCUGUCCAACGUUAAUCGGGGCAGGGUGAGUCGACCCCUAAGGCGAGGCUGAAAAGCGUAGUCGAUGGGAAACAGGUUAAUAUUCCUGUACUUGGUGUUACUGCGAAGGGGGGACGGAGAAGGCUAGGCUGGCCGGGCGACGGUUGUCCCGGUUUAAGCGUGUAGGGGGUGUGACCUGGUAAAUCCGGUUGCAUAUCAACCCUGAGGCGUGAUGACGAUGCACUACGGUGCAGAAGUAGUUGAUGCCCUGCUUCCAGGAAAAUCCUCUAAGCUCCAGGUAACAUUAAAUCGUACCCCAAACCGACACAGGUGGUCAGGUAGAGAAUACCAAGGCGCUUGAGAGAACUCGGGUGAAGGAACUAGGCAAAAUGGUGCCGUAACUUCGGGAGAAGGCACGCUGGCAUGUAGGUGAAGUCCCUCGCGGAUGGAGCUGAAGCCAGUCGAAGAUACCAGCUGGCUGCAACUGUUUAAUAAAAACACAGCACUGUGCAAACACGAAAGUGGACGUAUACGGUGUGACGCCUGCCCGGUGCUGGAAGGUUAAUUGAUGGGGUCAGCCGCAAGGCGAAGCUCUUGAUCGAAGCCCCAGUAAACGGCGGCCGUAACUAUAACGGUCCUAAGGUAGCGAAAUUCCUUGUCGGGUAAGUUCCGACCUGCACGAAUGGCGUAAUGAUGGCCAGGCUGUCUCCACCCGAGACUCAGUGAAAUUGAACUCGCUGUGAAGAUGCAGUGUACCCGCGGCAAGACGGAAAGACCCCGUGAACCUUUACUAUAGCUUGACACUGAACAUUGAGCCUUGAUGUGUAGGAUAGGUGGGAGGCUUUGAAGCGUGGACGCCAGUCUGCGUGGAGCCAUCCUUGAAAUACCACCCUUUAAUGUUUGAUGUUCUAACUCGGCCCCGUGAUCCGGGGUGAGGACAGUGUCUGGUGGGUAGUUUGACUGGGGCGGUCUCCUCCCAAAGAGUAACGGAGGAGCACGAAGGUUAGCUAAUCACGGUCGGACAUCGUGAGGUUAGUGCAAAGGCAUAAGCUAGCUUGACUGCGAGAGUGACGGCUCGAGCAGGUACGAAAGUAGGUCUUAGUGAUCCGGUGGUUCUGAAUGGAAGGGCCAUCGCUCAACGGAUAAAAGGUACUCCGGGGAUAACAGGCUGAUACCGCCCAAGAGUUCAUAUCGACGGCGGUGUUUGGCACCUCGAUGUCGGCUCAUCACAUCCUGGGGCUGAAGUAGGUCCCAAGGGUAUGGCUGUUCGCCAUUUAAAGUGGUACGCGAGCUGGGUUUAGAACGUCGUGAGACAGUUCGGUCCCUAUCUGCCGUGGGCGUUGGAAGAUUGAGAGGGGUUGCUCCUAGUACGAGAGGACCGGAGUGAACGCACCACUGGUGUUCGGGUUGUCAUGCCAAUGGCAUUGCCCGGUAGCUAAGUGCGGAAAAGAUAAGCGCUGAAAGCAUCUAAGCGCGAAACUUGCCUCAAGAUGAGUCUUCCCUGGGCCUUUAAGGCCCCUGAAGGAACGUUUAAGACUAAGACGUUGAUAGGCUGGGUGUGUAAGUGCAGCGAUGCAUUGAGCUAACCAGUACUAAUGAUCCGUGAGGCUUAACCUUACAACACCGAAGGUGUUU
rnacentral:rRNA from 1 species